GGAAGUAAAAGUCGUAACACGGUUUCCGUAGGUGAACCUGCGGAAGGAUCAUUACAGAGUUCAUGCCCGAAAGGGUAGACCUCCCACCCUUGUGUAUUAUUACUUUGUUGCUUUGGCGAGCGCAAGCUUGCCAGAGAAUACCAAAACUCUUUUUAUUAAUGUCGUCUGAGUACUAUAUAAUAGUUAAAACUUUCAACAACGGAUCUCUUGGUUCUG
rnacentral:misc_RNA from 1 species